UACGGAGGGUGCGAACGUUGCUCGGAAUCAUUGGGCGUAAAGCGCGUGUAGGCGGCAUGUCAAGUCGGAUGUGAAAGCCCCGGGCUCAACCCGGGAAGUGCGUCCGAUACUGGCAUGCUAGAGUACGGGAGAGGGUAGCGGAAUUCCCGGUGUAGAGGUGAAAUUCGUAGAUAUCGGGAGGAACACCAGUGGCGAAGGCGGCUACCUGGACCGAUACUGACGCUGAGACGCGAAAGCGUGGGGAGCAAACAGG
rnacentral:misc_RNA from 1 species